rnacentral:rRNA from 1 species
UACAGAGGUCUCGAGCGUUAGGCGGAAUCACUGGGCUUAAAGCGUGUGUAGGCGGACUGGUAAGUACCUUGUGAAAUCCCACGGCUCAACCGUGGAACUGCUCGGUAUACUGCGAAUCUUGAGCCACGUUAGGGCUACCGGAACAAAUGGUGGAGCGGGUGAAAUGCGAUAGAUAUCAUUUGGAACGCCAAUGGUGAAAACAACUCGCUGGGGAAGUGCUGACGCUGAGACACGAAAGCCAGGGGAGCGAACGGG